rnacentral:rRNA from 1 species
UACAGAGGUGUCAAGCGUUGCUCGGUGUCACUGGGCUUAAAGGGUGCGCAGGCGGUUCCGCAAGUCAGGCGUGAAAUCCCCGGGCUUAACCUGGGAAUGGCGCUUGAAACUACGGGACUGGAGUAUGGCAGAGGGAGGUGGAAUUCCACGUGUAGCGGUGAAAUGCGUAGAGAUGUGGAGGAACACCGAUGGCGAAGGCAGCCUCCUGGGCCAAUACUGACGCUCAUGCACGAAAGCGUGGGGAGCAAACAGG